GAAAGACAGGUACAAAACUGAGGCAAGGAUGUUUGCCAGAUUGGCACUACAACCAAUACUAGUAUCAACCAAAGUCUAAGUAUCUACUGUCACUUUAAUGGCUGUCGUGCACAAAGCAGACGUAAAACAUGUAUACAUGAGGAUCUUGUCUAUACAGUAAUACAAUUUACAUUAUAAAGGUCAAUGUCUGACACAUACCCAAAGCAACAUAUCUUUUCAUCAAACCCUAACCCUAACACGACGGUCCCCAUAGGGGAGGACUGUCCUUACAUUUCAGGUCAGAGUCAUGCCCAUCCCCCAAUACACAAGUGAUGAAAAUGAAUGAACAGAGAAAGGCACAUUUUACUCAAAGUUGAGACGUCACAACAACGUCUUUACGACAACGGUCCACAUAAAACAGCCUAGUAUGAUGCCCAACUGUCCUACACUUAAAGGAUUAAUUUGAAAUGAAAAUUAGCCAAACCUUUACUCACCCUCAAGCCAUCCUAGGUGUACACUGUAAUCCCUGAAGUUGAUUUAACCCAAAUUAAUUAAAUAAGCUAAACAAACUUUUUAAUUUUCUCUUCAUUACACAAUUGUUUUGGGUUUUGUGCACGAUUUGCAUGAAUUCUCUCAUUCAACUGGAAUGUUUUAGUUCAAUCAACUUAACUGUGCUAAUUCAAGUCUGUUGUCAAUGGCAACGAACAGGAAUGCAACACAAGGAAGAAUUUCAUUGGGCAGUUUGAAAUGACGCCAAGCUGGAAUGUAGCGUGUGUUUCUGUCAACGUUUGCUGCAGAUUCCAAGCAGAUCCAAUCAAAGCUAAGAUGCUUCAGUCUUGACCAGCUCUGUCAGGUGUACCAGCAGGCUGGUUGGGAAGAAGAGAGUGAUUUGAGAGAUUAUGUGCAACAGACAAAGGUGUGUAAAUUAAGCUGAAGUGUCAGCAUCAUUUUGAAAUUAUGUAUGUGAAUAUUCUGAGUAAUCUCUUUAUUCAUGUUUAGGCUUCUGAUGAUGAGGACAGCAUACAGCCUAGAAAAUGGAAGAUAUGGCACAGCAUCCACUGCCCU